rnacentral:rRNA from 1 species
AACGCUGGCGGAAUGCUUUACACAUGCAAGUCGAACGGCAGCACGGGGGCAACCCUGGUGGCGAGUGGCGAACGGGUGAGUAAUAUAUCGGAACGUGCCCAGUCGUGGGGGAUAACGUAGCGAAAGUUACGCUAAUACCGCAUACGAUCUACGGAUGAAAGCGGGGGAUCGCAAGACCUCGCGCGAUUGGAGCGGCCGAUAUCAGAUUAGGUAGUUGGUGGGGUAAAGGCUCACCAAGCCAACGAUCUGUAGCUGGUCUGAGAGGACGACCAGCCACACUGGGACUGAGACACGGCCCAGACUCCUACGGGAGGCAGCAGUGGGGAAUUUUGGACAAUGGACGCAAGUCUGAUCCAGCCAUUCCGCGUGCAGGACGAAGGCCUUCGGGUUGUAAACUGCUUUUGUACGGAACGAAAAAGCUCUUACUAAUACUAGGAGUCCAUGACGGUACCGUAAGAAUAAGCACCGGCUAACUACGUGCCAGCAGCCGCGGUAAUACGUAGGGUGCGAGCGUUAAUCGGAAUUACUGGGCGUAAAGCGUGCGCAGGCGGUUAUAUAAGACAGAUGUGAAAUCCCCGGGCUCAACCUGGGAACUGCAUUUGUGACUGUAUAGCUAGAGUGCGGCAGAGGGGGAUGGAAUUCCGCGUGUAGCAGUGAAAUGCGUAGAUAUGCGGAGGAACACCGAUGGCGAAGGC